ensembl:snoRNA
AGUAAUCCUAGAGGCAUUGCGGGUAUGACUGCCAUGUCACACGUGUCAAUAGGUGGCAGAGAGGAGAGAGGCUAUGUCUGCUCAGUGUUCUGACCAGUGAACAUUUAAAUGAUUAGUAGACUGAUACU